rnacentral:rRNA from 1 species
UACGUAGGGUGCGAGCGUUGUCCGGAAUUAUUGGGCGUAAAGAGCUCGUAGGCGGUCUGUCGCGUCUGCUGUGAAAUCCCCGAGGCUCAACCUCGGGCUUGCAGUGGGUACGGGCAGGCUAGAGUGCGGUAGGGGAGAAUGGAACUCCUGGUGUAGCGGUGGAAUGCGCAGAUAUCAGGAAGAACACCGAUGGCGAAGGCAGUUCUCUGGGCCGUAACUGACGCUGAGGAGCGAAAGCGUGGGGAGCGAACAGG